AUAAAAAUUGUUUAAAAAAUCAAGGAUCAUUUAAUUAUGUUAUAAAUAAUAUUGUAAGUUGUUAAUUUUAUAUAGCAAAAUGGGGAAGUUUACAAACAUAAGUCGGUAUGCAUGUGUAACAGGUGUAAAGUAUACAUAUAUGUAUGUAAUACAAUAGCUAUAGAUUACAGAGAACGGUAGACGUUCUACGCACGAAGCAGAAGCCAACACGCGAGUAAAGUUUGAAAUUGUUUGUUGUAUUUAUGAUUUACAUAGAGAUAAGCGGAUAUCGGGUGAACGUUUCUAUCUAAGAAGGGGUUAACUUUUCAUAGAUAAUAAUUAUAAUAAUAUGUACAAUACACAUAUAUAUAUAUAUAUAUUAUAUAAUCGUUUGAAUUUUUUCUUUUAUUUUAUUUACGUAAUUUAUAUUUAGUUCGUUAUAGAUCACAUUAGGUUAAAUGUAAAUGUUUAAAACGUUUAUUGUUACUUUUAUCUUUGCGAUAAUACCAAUAAUUGUUUUUUCUUCUGAAAAAAAAAAAUACGUAAUAAUUUGUAAGUAAAGUAUUUGUACAAUGCAAAUGUGUGUAUGCACAUAAAACGGUAAACACAUGUCGCUGAAUUUAAACGCAUUCAGUUUUUUUUCUUAUUUCUUUAUUUCUUUUCUCUUUCAAAGGAAGUGGAAAAAACUGAGUAAUUAUUUAAAAGAAUAUGAUAAAAAAAAAAGCUUCUAAGAAAAUCAACGAGGUAGCUUAAAACUUCCUGAUGACUUCAGAAAUUCUUGUUUAAAAUAAUAUACUUUCCUUUAAAUCGUGCGAAUUUAAUUUUGAGUUUAGAUUCGUAGUAAUAUUCUAGAUUCAAAUGUAGCAUGUAAAUAUAGGUGUAUACAGAGACGUGUGUAUAAGUAAGCAAUAGAAACGCAAAACAUUUAGUACGUAGGACGAGUGGCCACUCGUUGAACUCUUUCAAUCGCUCACUUGUAAGUUCUUUCACAGUCUUGAAUCAUAAUGAUCGCGUUGACGGCAGGAAAAGCACUCGAACUCGACGCUUCUCUCACCAUUUCAAAGAUUGUUGUUAAGAAGAACCCUUGUCUAUAUCCCUACACCAUAUGUGAACAAGAUUGUUCACAGAAUCGAAAGGGGGGAAAGAGAUAAAACGACUCGUAGAAGUUUCACAGAACUUUUCUAUUCUUUUUUAAUUAUUAUUAGAUGAUUUUUAAAUGAAAAAUUUUGUUUGUAGAAAAUAUUGAUUUCAAGGAAAAAGGAAAUAUCACAUGCGUAACGUAUGAGAGAUGUAAGUUAUAGUUUGAAUAAUUUAGUGUUUAGGUAACGCAUUUGGAAGUAAAAGAAGAAGAAGAAGUUGAUGGCUAUGAUUUCUAGUCAGCUUUGUAAUGUACAAAGUAUAUAUGUCUACGUAUAGCCAUUGGUAGCGAUAAAAAAAAUGAGGACAAAGUAUAGUGGGAAUAGAUUCGCAGCGACAUAAAAUGCGGUCAGGUAAAAAUGUAUUCUAACAUCAACUUGAGUAUAAGUUGUCAAAGGAAAAGUUUUAUUGUUUCUAUUAUAUCGAUUUUAUAGUUCUAAGCAGUUAGUAAAAAUAUGCGACUAUGUGAAUUGCCUCGUUUUUGAAUUUUGAAUAUUGCGCCAUUUCGUUUAUUUUCAAAAUGGUUGCUUUCCUGAAUGAGAGUAGUCAAAACAGCUUUUAAAUUAAUAAUUGUGUUUGUUUUUUUUUUUAAUAUAGAAGUGAUGAGUGAUUUUGAAUUAGGAUUUCAUCAGCAUACUACGAUUAAAUGAUUGUUAAAUCUAAAUUAGUCACCCGUUAUGUUAGCACGAACAUCGUAAGUAACUUAUACAACUUACGACUGUAUCGAAGGAAUUAUAUACGCUCGUUCGUGAAACAAGUAGUUUGAGAAGGACAGUGAGAGGAAAACAAAAAAAAAACAUAAGAGAAAUAGAGAGAUAUAGAAAGAUAUUUAUGCGUAGUUAGGAAGUUGAUAUUAUAAUAAAUAUUUGUAUGCAAUGAAAUACACAAUCUAAAUCAUCAAAAUACGAAGCUUAGGCAUCAUACCAAAAUUGAUUAGUAUACGAAUAUCGAUUAAGCUUUAGAUCGAUUAUGUAUUUUAAUUAAUCGAGGAAAAUGUAUGAAAAUAUCGUGGGACAAAAUAAUCAAGCGUUUAGUGGAACCCUUGGGUAAAACGCUUGUCGUGCUGCACGACGAUGCACAUAUCUCAUUUUAUGAUCUCCUUAAACGAACCGCUUACAUUCUCAAGAUUGUAAUUCCUGCACACAAAUCUUUAUUUUCUCUCGCUUUUUUUCUCUUUCCUUUAAUCUUAUAAGUCAUUUAAUAGUUUGGAACGUGACCUAAGAAAAAUUCUAGAAAUUUUCCUCAAAUGCAUUUAAAAAAUAGUUUGAAAAUAUUUCAAAUAUUAUCUAUAAGUAAUAGCCAAUCAGCGUGAGACUAUGGUCACCGUGAUCGACCAAUAAAAAUUCAUAAAUGGCCUGAAAUUUGGACCAAUCAGAGGUAGUCGAGAAAAAAUCUCAUCAAAGGUUUAAGAGAGAAAACUGAAGAAAUAUGAAGAAAAAAAGUAAGAAAACAAGAUACCGAGCAAACGAAUUCGAAGGACGAGAAAGACGUUAGGGGAUUCUGGCGCGAAAUUCAAAAAUCUCGAAGAAAUAUUCUCACCGUGAGAAAAGAUAGAAGAAUAGAAGAAGGAUAAGAAGAUGGGCAGAGAUGGGCUUACUCACCAGACUGACCAAUCGCCAGGGAUGACGAGCU